GGAACUUGCUUUCAAAUCUAAGGAUGGUGACUCCAACACUGACAUAACUAGGAGUGCAAAUGAUGUUGAGGCUUCUGGAGAACACAAUAGGCCUGACACAAGCUCACCUGAUUGGAAUAAGAGAAAUGACAGAAGAAGCAGAGAAAGAAGUGAAAAGGAGCAAGAAAUGGAUAGAUACGAGAGGGAGGCUGAGCGAGAACGGGCAAGGAAAGAGAGAGAGCAAAGGAGAAAACUUGAGGAUGCAGAGCGUGCUUACCAGGCUCGUCUUCGA